UUAUAAUUGAUGGGAUCGGGAUCCUUCGCCACUAUACAACUUUUUGUACCUCCCUUUCUACGCACCCUCUGCAUGUGAUGCCCAUUUCUUCCCCUUUCUUGCAUUUUGGCUGCCCUCUGCAACUCGAUUGGUUGAGUUUCCUUUCCCACCCUUCCCCUAUCUCUUCAUUUUACCUCACUCGCCAUCAUACGCAGUCAAUGUUCGUCCUUAAUCAACUUGCGUUCGUCCCUUCUGCCAAUAGAGCCCACAGUUAGUUUGGAAAGCAUGCUACUUUCUUGAAUACUCUUUUGUUGCAAUAUCAUGAUUUAUGGAACUUCAACUUGUUUUAGGGAAACUUGAGAGAGCUAAAAUUUCAAAAGUACAUUUCUAGGAUAUCAUUGGCAUUGCUUGGACUUGGUGAACACUUGUAGGUUGAUUUGAACUUGUAAAAAGCCAUUUUGAAAUAAGUUUGGGGGAAUGUUGUUUUGGACUUUAAUGUGUUUAAACUUAACCAAAUUAUCCUUUGUUGUUAAGUUUAGGAAAUUUGAACUUGAAAUGCCAUCUUACUUGUCAUAUAUCUUUAUAUUUCAUUUGUGGAAGCUUGUAAGGGCUUGAGACCAAAAUUGGCAUCUUUGCCUUAACCGGCCAUUGUUUUUUAUGCAAAGGGGAGUCGGCAAACACAUCCUUCUCUACACAGCACCAUCAGGAGCAACCCAUCACUUCUCAGUUUCAGCCGGGCUCAUCUUCACAUCCUCCUCGGGAUCCACUGUCUCAGUCAGACUCGCUCUCCCAGUACGCCAAUUCUGACUCCAGCUUUAUGAGCGAGUUGACUCAGCUCCAGUCAGACUUUACUACAUUCAGCGCUUGGAUGGGACGGAGGGCUAACGACCUAGAGAGGGGUGUGACAGAUAUGAGGAGGGACAUUACUCAGUUCCGUACAGAGGUGCAGCUUACACUGACUAGAUUUCGUGAGGAAGUUACAGAUAUGCUUCAGCAACUUACAAAGAUGAUUCAGCCACCACCGGUCGGGACUCCAUGAUUUCGCAUUCUCUAUCUCUCUCUCAUUUACUCUGUUCUUAUGUGCUCCUUAGACAUUAUUUGACAUACUCUGUUAUUAUUUUGGGGAUGUACUUAUUAAUACAUAUGAUAUUGAUUUUUGGAUA